GAAGAUACAUCGAUUCAUCAUCCUAAUUGACCGGCUUGGUCCUUUCAAAAAGAGUUAUCUAAUUUCAUGUUCUGUUAUCCAAAACCAACUUGAGCAGAGCUACGUUGUGAAUUUCUUUGGCUAGUGGCUAGGCUGGAUAAUUUGCCAGCUUUUUCUAGUCCACUUUUGAUCCAAGCAAUGUUGUUUAAAUCUGUGGCCAUAGAAGCUAACUCAUGGCUGAGGAGGGGAGGAUGUUCCUCGUA
rnacentral:misc_RNA from 1 species